AUCUACGGUGAUGCCACCCUGAACAAGACCGAUCCCAUCUGAUUCUGAAGCUAAACAGUGUCAGGCCUGCUUAGUAAUUUGAUGGGAGACCACGUAGGAAGACCAGGUGCUGUAGGCA
ensembl:rRNA 5S_rRNA 5S ribosomal RNA